CGGUAAUACGUAGGGUGCAAGCGUUAAUCGGAAUUACUGGGCGUAAAGCGUGCGCAGGCGGUGAUGUAAGACAGUUGUGAAAUCCCCGGGCUCAACCUGGGAACUGCAUCUGUGACUGCAUCGCUGGAGUACGGCAGAGGGGGAUGGAAUUCCGCGUGUAGCAGUGAAAUGCGUAGAUAUGCGGAGGAACACCGAUGGCGAAGGCAAUCCCCUGGGCCUGUACUGACGCUCAUGCACGAAAGCGUGGGGAGCAAACAGGAUU
rnacentral:rRNA from 1 species